GCUGGCGGCCGUAGCGCGGUGGUCCCACCUGACCCCAUGCCGAACUCAGAAGUGAAACGCCGUAGCGCCGAUGGUAGUGUGGGGUCUCCCCAUGCGAGAGUAGGGAACUGCCAGGC
rnacentral:rRNA from 4 species